rnacentral:tRNA from 1 species
GGGGGUGUAGCUCAGAGGUAGAGCGCUCGCUUUGCAUGCGAGAAGUCCCGGGUUCGAUCCCCGGCUCCUCCA